UGCGUAGGCGGAUCAAUAAGUCAGUGGUGAAAUCUCUCGGCUCAACCGGGAAACUGCCAUUGAUACUGUUGAUCUUGAGUUCGGUUGAGGUAGGCGGAAUGUGUAAUGUAGCGGUGAAAUGCUUAGAUAUUACACAGGACACCAAUUGCGUAGGCAGCUUACUAGACCGACACUGACGCUGAGGCACGAAAGCGUGGGGAGCGAACAGGAUUAGAUACCCUGGUAGUCC
rnacentral:rRNA from 1 species